GUUAGGAAUCAUUGUAAUUAGGCUAUUGGGUAAUCAGGUGAAAUCCGUUAUGUGCAACGUUACCCGAAAGAGAAUAGGUCAAAAACUAAGUCACUGCUUUGCUCAGGGCAGAAAGCUUCACAAAGGUGCACUGCAGAAUAGAUAAAUCAGUUUCCAGUAUGGUGUACAACUAAGGCCUUAUGAAUACUUUUUAAGCGGCAGCGGUCUGCUAAUUUUGCUGUGGUUAGCAUAAACAUGGCUAUCAGACUGGUGGCAAUGCAAGGAGCACAUUCAGUCCUACAGCCCUUUAGCGAUGUACUUUUCUGUUUCCAUUCAAUGGCAGUCUUCCCUGUGGCUCAGGUUUGUUCCAGAAGUAUCGAAAGGAGUUGCCAGUUCAAGCACUUCAUCU
rnacentral:lncRNA from 1 species